UGGGGAAUAUUGCACAAUGGAGGGAACUCUGAUGCAGCAACGCCGCGUGCGGGAUGACGGCCUUCGGGUUGUAAACCGCUUUCAGCCAUGACGAAGCUUUUGUGACGGUAGUGGUAGAAGAAGCACCGGCUAACUACGUGCCAGCAGCCGCGGUGAUACGUAGGGUGCGAGCGUUGUCCGGAAUUAUUGGGCGUAAAGAGCUUGUAGGCGGUUUGUCGCGUCGAUAGUGUAAACACGCAGCUUAACUGUGUGCCUGCUGUCGAUACGGGCUGACGAGAGGAGGGUAGGGGAGAAUGGAAUUCCCGGUGGAGCGGUGGAAUGCGCAGAUAUCGGGAGGAACACCAGUGGCGAAGGCGGUUCUCUGGACCUUUCCUGACGCUGAGAAGCGAAAGCGUGGGUAGCAAACAGG
rnacentral:rRNA from 1 species